UACGGGGGGGGCAAGCGUUGUUCGGAAUUACUGGGCGUAAAGGGCUCGUAGGCGGCCAACUAAGUCAGACGUGAAAUCCCUCGGCUUAACCGGGGAACUGCGUCUGAUACUGGAUGGCUUGAGUUUGGGAGAGGGAUGCGGAAUUCCAGGUGUAGCGGUGAAAUGCGUAGAUAUCUGGAGGAACACCGGUGGCGAAGGCGGCAUCCUGGACCAACACUGACGCUGAGGAGCGAAAGCCAGGGGAGCAAGCGGG
rnacentral:rRNA from 1 species